GCCAUCAUUAUACCCUGAUCCCAUCCAACUCUGCACGGGGUACACAUGCUUUCAUCCGUAUUUGGUGGAAAUUCCAUCAAGGCACUUUGUAUUUAUUUUUACAUCCUUUGAUGGGCAAGUUCUGGUUAAGGAACCAAAACCAUGAUUGAGAAACUCGAACCUAAAUGAAAACUUUUGACUCAAUAUUUACAUCCAACGGUAUUCAUUCCAAUUUGUUCUACAAAUGUUUGGAUUUUGCGUCCCGUUUUUGUUGUGAUAUUUGGUUGUCGGAAAGCAUUGAAGUUGAAAUGUGUCUCCCUUUCACUUGCUUGGAAGUAGUAUUUGUGCUAACUCCCGACUGGUUCUUUCGUAAGAUAGGAAGUAUUUUCUACCUCCCUUUUGGACAAAGGCUGCUUGGCUAUAAAUUCACUGUUUUAAUGGAAAUUUUGUGUGCUUGUGUCGGCUUAUUUUCUUAUGCAAGUGCCUGAGACAAAAGACCUUGGUGAUGCCCUUGGAUUUGGAUCUGCCUUCAUCUUUUCUUCUGUAUUCGGUAUACGCUUGGCAGCGACUCGUAAAUUAAUUCCUGCAGGGCCUUUACUGGGUCUUUCUGUUUGUGCAUUGGCUGUGUUUAUCUCAAGCCUAUCUGCAAGAUAGGAUCUAAUCCUGGUCACGUUUUGAGGUCUCUCGCUAGGACAUCGGCAACGUUUUGCACAUAAAUGUUAACGGGAUAAAGAGAUGUAAGAGUCUGUGUGGACCUCUGUAACUUCUGUUAUUCUGUAAGCUGAGUUUUUAUUUUAUUUUUAUUUUUUUUUUAACCCUUGCAUUGUACAUGCACUUCUUGUUUGUGGAUGUACUAGUACUUUCUGAUGUUUGUCUUAUGUGUGGUGUUUACUGCUUUU